rnacentral:rRNA from 1 species
AGGAUUAACGCUGGCGGCGUGCCUAACACAUGCAAGUCGAACGAGGUAGCAAUACCUAGUGGCAGACGGGUGAGUAACGCGUGGUCAACCUACCGUUGAGUGGGGGAUAACUAGCCGAAAGGUUAGCUAAUACCGCAUACGAGUCUCGGGGGCAUCCCUGGGCCUUAAAAGGAGCAAUCCGCUCGAUGACGGGACCGCGUCCCAUUAGCUAGAUGGUGGGGUAAUGGCCUACCAUGGCUCCGAUGGGUAGCUGGUUUGAGAGAGCGACCAGCCACACUGGGACUGAGAAACGGCCCAGACUCCUACGGGAGGCAGCAGUGAGGAAUUUUCCGCAAUGGGCGAAAGCCUGACGGAGCGACGCCGCGUGUGGGAAGAAGGCCUUCGGGUCGUAAACCACUGUCGAAGGGGACGAUAAUGACGGUACCUUGGAGGAAGCCCGGCUAACUACGCGCCAGCAGCCGC